rnacentral:rRNA from 1 species
GUGCCAGCCGCCGCGGUAAUACCGGCAGCACGAGUGAUGGCCGAUUUUAUUGGGCCUAAAGCGUCCGUAGCUGGCCAGACAAGUCCGUUGGGAAAUUCACGCGCUCAACGCGUGGGCGUCCAGCGGAAACUGCCUGGCUUGGGGCCGGAGGACUCGAGGGGUACGUCCGGGGUAGGAGUGAGAUCCCAUAAUCCCGCACGGACCACCGAUGGCGAAAGCACUUCGAGAAAACGGAUCCGACAGUGAGGGACGAAAGCCAGGGUCUCCAACCGGAUUAGAAACCCCAGUAGUCC